rnacentral:rRNA from 1 species
GCUUAAAAUCCAAAGGACUUGACGGUGUCCCACCCACCUAGAGGAGCCUGUUCUUUAAUCGAUACCCCCCGCUUUACCUCACCACUUCUUGCUCUUCAGCCUGUAUACCUCCGUCGUAAACUUGCCCUAUGAACGAAACACAGCAAGUAUAAGGACCUCCCCCGUCAAUACGUCAGGUCAAGGUGCAGCCUAUGAAAUGGAAAGCAAUGGGCUACAAUUUCUAGUUUAGAACACACGAACUACCACUUGAAACCGUGAUCAUAAAGGUGGAUUUAGUAGUAAAGGGGGACAAGAAAGCCCCCUUAAACAAGGCCCUGGGACGUGUACAAACCGCCCGUCACCCUCUUCGAUAGUACAAAAAUUGUUACUUAACAACCCACCAACGCCUUAGAAGAGGUAAGUCGUAACAUGGUAAGUGUACUGGAAAGUGCACUUGGAUCAACAAAAUGUAGCUUAACCAAAGCCUCUCGCUUACACCGAGAAGAUAUCCGUUAAACCCCGAUCAUUUUGAGCUGUAAAUCUAG